rnacentral:rRNA from 1 species
GACGAACGCUGGCGGCGUGCUUAACACAUGCAAGUCGAACGGAAAGGCCCUGCUUUUGUGGGGUGCUCGAGUGGCGAACGGGUGCGUAACACGUGAGUAACCUGCCCUUGACUUUGGGAUAACUUCAGGAAACUGGGGCUAAUACCGGAUAGGAGCGCCUGCUGCAUGGUGGGGGUUGGAAAGUUUCGGCGGUUGGGGAUGGACUCGCGGCUUAUCAGCUUGUUGGUGGGGUAGUGGCUUACCAAGGCUUUGACGGGUAGCCGGCCUGAGAGGGUGACCGGCCACAUUGGGACUGAGAUACGGCCCAGAGUCCUACGGGAGGCAGCAGUGGGGAAUAUUGCACAAUGGGCGGAAGCCUGAUGCAGCAACGCCGCGUGCGGGAUGACGGCCUUCGGGUUGUAAACCGCUUUCGCCUGUGACGAAGCGUGAGUGACGGUAAUGGGUAAAGAAGCACCGGCUAACUACGUG